rnacentral:rRNA from 1 species
UACGUAGGGGGCAAGCGUUGUCCGGAUUUAUUGGGCGUAAAGAGCGUGUAGGCGGCCUGACAGGUCUGCUGUGAAAACUCGAGGCUCAACCUCGAGAUGUCGGCGGAAACCGUCUGGCUAGAGUCCGGAAGAGGAGAGUGGAAUUCCUGGUGUAGCGGUGAAAUGCGCAGAUAUCAGGAAGAACACCUAUGGCGAAGGCAGCUCUCUGGGACGGUACUGACGCUGAGACGCGAAAGCGUGGGGAGCAA